GGAGAGAUGUCCGAGCGGUCGAAGGAUCCGGUCUUGAAAACCGGCGUACAGCAAUGUACCGUGGGUUCAAAUCCCACUCUCUCCGCCA
rnacentral:tRNA from 1 species